UACGUAGGAGGCGAGCGUUAUCCGGAUUUACUGGGCGUAAAGCGCGUGCAGGCGGUCUGGUAAGUUGGAUGUGAAAGCUCCUGGCUCAACCGGGAGAGGUCGUUCAAUACUGCCAGACUCGAGGACGGUAGAGGAGAGUGGAAUUCCCGGUGUAGUGGUGAAAUGCGUAGAUAUCUGGAGGAACACCGGUGGCGAAGGCGGCAUCCUGGACCGGCAUUGACGCUGAGGCGCGAAAGCCAGGGGAGCAAACGGG
rnacentral:rRNA from 1 species